rnacentral:rRNA from 1 species
UACGUAGGGUGCGAGCGUUAAUCGGAAUUACUGGGCGUAAAGCGUGCGCAGGCGGUCUGUUAAGACCGAUGUGAAAUCCCCGGGCUUAACCUGGGAACUGCAUCCGAUACUGCCAUGCUAGAGGAUUGGAGAGGUAGCUGGAAUUCUUGGUGUAGCAGUGAAAUGCGUAGAGAUCAAGAGGAACACUCGUGGCGAAAGCGAGCUACUGGACAAUUCCUGACGCUGAGGCUCGAAGGCUAGGGUAGCGAAAGGG